CCUUUAGGAAGUACAUUUACACGCUACACCUUUGAAGAGAAAAUAUCAUAUAUUAGUAUUUAUUUAUUGCUUUUGCUUACAUAAAUGGAGGAAAUGUGUCUAGUGAAAACGCUGCUAAUUAUUUUUCAUUUAUGCUGUGGCUUGAAUAAUCGAAGAGAAUACUAUUAGACAAAUUAAUGUAUGACGAUAUGAUGAUAAAUAGGCAAUUUUAUAUGCUUCAAAAACUGAAAAUAAUUUUUCACAAAACCUAUCAAAUGUAGACCUAAUUCAUACAUUUUCAACCUUCUUCAGUUUGAGGUAUAUCGAAUCAAUAUUUAAAUUCUUAUUUUUGUCGGAAUUUAUUGAGCUGCUGAUGAAAUCCAGAAAAGGGAAUUUAUUGAGCUGCUGAUGAAAUCCAGAAAAGUGACCCGCAAUAUACUAAAGCGGUGAUGUCGAUCAUAAGAUCUACUGUCAAGACUGCUACUUCGAAGAUUGAAAUAUUUUGUGAUAAAGGUAUUCAAUCAAGACGAGAUACAACGACAGGAUCAACUGGAGAUGCUUUGACAGACAGUGUCCAGCUUCAUUAACCACAUCGGUAAAUGAAAACAACCAACGUAACUCUCUCCAUGUGUCCGAUAUUAAAAUCUAAUAACAUUUCAGCAGUAUAAUGCUGCAAAACAACACAGCGAGGAAAUCCACUAGUUUUGCAGACCAUGCGAGGAUCGUUAUUGGCCAGACCAACCUAGCUGAUGCUGAGGAACCUGGUGCUAAGGAACAUGAUGCUGAGAAAUCUGAUGACCCAGCUGAUGCUGCACCUGCCCCUGUUGCUGAUAAACCUGAUGACCAAGCUGAUACUGACCCACUCGAGGGAUCCUUUGAUGUAGGUCAUCGCCGUGCUUCCAUACACCCUAAACGUAUAGACACAUCACUUAACGCAGAUCCAGAUUUGCCAGAAGACAUCAUACUUGACGACGGUGUCAUCCACUACAAGGUUCUAGAGAAGGGAAGCAAACGAGGAGGACGCUUGCUAUUUGGUUUUACAUUAAGAGUAAAGACUUCCCGUCUACAAAGAGGUUGCUGCAGUGGCAGUUUGGAGGCAUGUGCAGUCGUUAGGCUUGGCCAGAGCGUACAAGGAACAACAGGCAGUCCACAGCUACAUCCGUCAGCUACUCUCCCUGCAUUUACUGCCAGCACAACACAUUCCCGAGACAUUCAACCAUUUGCGAGGAAGAGCCAACACACCACAACUUCGAAACCUGAUGGACUAUAUAUGGACCGACAUUGGUUUCACCAUCGAGUCUUUAGGGUCCAGGACUGGUCAGUGUUUCGGCGGACAAUGCGCACCAACAACGAUGUUGAAGGCUGGCACAACCGACUGAACACAUUGGCCAGGCAUGGGGGUGUCCUUUUCUACAAGUUGGUGCUACAGCUGCGACAGGAAGCAGAGCUGGGCGAAAUAUACUGAAUGGAGGGUUAUGAUUUCCAUGAAGCCCUCUACCUACCCAGACAGUAAAACAGUAUAUAAAGUCACAUAAUAAAAAAGUAUCAAAUAUUAUUAUAUUUUCUCCUGUACUGGAAAUGUAUUGCUAUUACAUGUGUUUUGAAUAGUAAAAAUUUAGGCAGAGAUUGAGGCUUUUUAUUUGGGGUGUGUGUGACAUUUGGUGAAC
rnacentral:sRNA from 1 species